rnacentral:rRNA from 1 species
AUUGAACGCUGGCGGCAGGCCUAACACAUGCAAGUCGAGCGGAUGAAGGGAGCUUGCUCCUGGAUUCAGCGGCGGACGGGUGAGUAAUGCCUAGGAAUCUGCCUGGUAGUGGGGGAUAACGUCCGGAAACGGGCGCUAAUACCGCAUACGUCCUGAGGGAGAAAGUGGGGGAUCUUCGGACCUCACGCUAUCAGAUGAGCCUAGGUCGGAUUAGCUAGUUGGUGGGGUAAAGGCCUACCAAGGCGACGAUCCGUAACUGGUCUGAGAGGAUGAUCAGUCACACUGGAACUGAGACACGGUCCAGACUCCUACGGGAGGCAGCAGUGGGGAAUAGUGGACAAUGGGCGAAAGCCUGAUCCAGCCAGGCCGCGUGUGUGAAGAAGGUCUUCGGAUUGGAAAGCACUUUAAGUUGGGAGGAAGGGCAGUAAGUUAAUACCUUGCUGUUUUGACGUUACCAACAGAAUAAGCACCGGCUAACUUCGUG